AAAGUUCCUGUAGGUCCUACCACAGUCCAGCAUUAUUCGGGAAAAGGAAAAACCAACAAAAGAAUUAUGGAGAUACCUACACAGGGACUAAUGUAGCCAAAGUUUUAUCAGACAUCACAGAUGGAUAUUUUAAAAAGAACUACAGCGUCCCAAAGAGCAAUGAGAACAAUGUCUGUAAAUGUGAAGAGAUCAAGUGUGUCCAUGACGCUGUCUUUGUAGCAGGUAGAUACAAUAAGUACAGCCGCACUCUGAGUCAGACUC